CCCAGUCGGCACGGAUACACGUCUGCCAAAAAGGGUAGCCGAGGAACGCGCGGUGCGCACUCUGCACACAACCCGCACUUGGGAUCGGGGGGUUAGAUCUCGGCGGUGUGGAGGGGGGAGGAGGAAGGGAGCAGGCGGCGGCGUGAAGGAGGGAGGAGGGAGCAGCGGUGUGGGAGGUGGGAUCGUGGCGCGCGAGCAAGACAGCAGCGUAUAUGGUAGCGACGGCCGGGGACGGUACCACAGCGCCGCGAGAAGGACGCGGGAGCGCAGGCUGGAGUGGUCCAGGAGCUAGAGCCGGAGUAGCCGAACGACGCCGCCGGCGAGAGCUGCGGCAGGAACGCUGUGCUGUCGCCGUUUGGGCUCGCGGCUGUUGAUUACACCACCACGUCGCCUGCCGUCGGAGUCGCCCGCUCGCUGCCUCUGACGUUGACCACGUGUUCGAGCGUGGAGUUACGCAGGCACGAACUUAUCGAGCGUAGAAGUGCCGGUGGUUCACGUGUCCGGUCAUCAAUUUAAAAGACACCUACUCAGGAACAGCCUACCUACCACUGAUUGCUCUACGUGAGGAAACGGUGUUCAUUAAAAUUAUUUCCCUAACACAUGUUCACAAGUCUAGAAAAGAACACUCUUCCUACGUGUUUUAGUUCAAAAAACAGCCAUCCUCGAAAAAAGCGACAGGUUGACAAGUCAAGGUGACCUUGUUCCCCAGGUGACCUGAAGAUAACAAAGGCUUGAACUACACCUAUUUUAGUUGGUCUCAUAAUACCACUUUGGUUCAAAGUGGUGAACUGUUGAAUGUCCCGGAAAGUUCCUUAACAAGGAUUUUACUCCCCGGUUACAUACUACAAGUCACCAGAAGAAGUCCAAGACUUAAACAACACCAGAUACCUAUAUAGGAAUGUAGCAGGAAUGUACUUGGUAUUGUAAAGACCAAAUUACAGAAACAAAAGAUGUUAACAAGGAACUGAUUUAGAACCAAUCCGGCCGGUCUCGUGGUUAUAAGUCGGUUUUUACGUUAGGAGAAGUGCUCGAACCACUUCCGGUAAUAUUAUGCUAUUCUACCUUAGGACUUCCCGCUAAAAUUCUUCUACACAACUUUUCGACAUAGUCGUAUUUUUACCUCUUUGUUUCUUCAUUACAAGGUCAUAUAAACGUCUCCACUUUAUAAUUGCGGUCAAGCUCGCGUGGCCGGAGCUACCGUUCUCUGGUGAUGGUAGUCACAUCACCAUAUCGUAUGACACUCGUUAGUCCUUGUUUUUGUCCUCCAAAUUAAAAGUGUUUAGCCAUGACGUAUAAAAAGUCUUCUAUACGUAACACUAACUUGUACUCUUUAGGAAAUGGAGGGAUAUGAAGUUCCACACAAGACGAGAUUUUACUGUUCGUGGGUUGCUUCACUCUCGCGUUUGGUGUACAACUUCUCAAUAUACGGUGGACGAUCGGGCUACGUGUAAAAACACUCCGUCAUAUACUCCGAGGUCAAACUGGUACCCUUCCUCCUUUCACAGCACUCCUCUCGUUUAGACCGUUUACCGUUAUCUCGUCGUACGUUCGUUUCACAUGUGAACACGAUACAAAACCUCGGGGCAGCUUUCCAAACCUCCGGGUCCUUCCAUCACAACCCCGCAGGCAGCCGCACUUACGCGAAGUUACUGAUCGUGGUGGCCUCAUCGUCUCUCCACAUCCCUCCGGCAGCUUGUCGGCCCUCUUUCGUGGUGUGCUCCCAGACUCGUUCGUAUGGUCCAAAACGUCGUAGACGGGGGCACUUCCGGUGUUCGGCUGCUGUACGGGACUAGCACCUCUUCGUGGAUUUCUCGGGGCGUUUGGGCCUUUCACGUUCUUGACAACUUACCUUUCCGCGGCGUCCUUGUGCACGUGUGCGGAUGACCCACCACGUGUAUACAUCAGAUCUUCUAAAUUUUAAAGCACACAUUACACACUAAGUUCCUAAAAGACCACACACAACACUCGGUACGAGGUGCUAACAAGGAGGUCACGAAUUAGAAUCACGACAACAUAAGGUAUCACAACAUACCAUUCAGGCAUUGAGUUGUCUUGAAGUGUUAAUACUAUCUUUUUUACAACCCGCACUAUAGAUGUAAAAGGU
rnacentral:rRNA from 1 species